rnacentral:rRNA from 1 species
AUUGAACGCUGGCGGCAUGCCUUACACAUGCAAGUCGAACGGCAGCACGGGGGCAACCCUGGUGGCGAGUGGCGAACGGGUGAGUAAUGCAUCGGAACGUACCCGGAAGUGGGGGAUAACGUAGCGAAAGUUACGCCAAUACCGCAUAUUCUGUGAGCAGGAAAGUGGGGGACCGCAAGGCCUCACGCUUUCGGAGCGGCCGAUGUCGGAUUAGCUAGUUGGCGGGGUAAAGGCCCACCAAGGCGACGAUCCGUAGCGGGUCUGAGAGGAUGAUCCGCCACACUGGGACUGAGACACGGCCCAGACUCCUACGGGAGGCAGCAGCGGGGAAUUUUGGACAAUGGGGGCAACCCUGAUCCAGCCAUGCCGCGUGAGUGAAGAAGGCCUUCGGGUUGUAAAGCUCUUUCGGCCGGGAAGAAAUCGCACAGGCUAAUACCUUGUGUGGAUGACGGUACCGGAAUAAGAAGCACCGGCUAACUACGUGCCAGCCGCCGCAGUAAUAC